rnacentral:rRNA from 1 species
AAGCAACCUACCCUAAAGACGAGGAUAACCAUUGGAAACAGUGGCUAAGACUGGAUAGGAAGAUAAAAGGCAUCUUGUAUCUUUUAAAAGACCUAGUUAAUAGGUAUGCUUUAGGAGGGGCUUGCGCCAUAUUAGUUAGUUGGUAGGGUAAUGGCCUACCAAGACGAUGAUGUGUAGCUGGACUGAGAGGUUGAACAGCCACAUUGGGACUGAGACACGGCCCAAACUCCUACGGGAGGCAGCAGUAGGGAAUUUUCGGCAAUGGAGGAAACUCUGACCGAGCAACGCCGCGUGAAUGACGAAGUACUUCGGUAUGUAAAGUUCUUUUAUCGAGGAAGAAAAGCAAAUGGCGAACCAUUUGUUUGCCGGUACUUGAUGAAUAAGCCCCGGCUAAUUAUGUGCCAGCAGCCGCGGUAAGACAUAAGGGGCAAGUGUUAUCCGGAAUUAUUGGGCGUAAAGGGUGCGUAGGCGGUCUAGUAAGUCAGUGGUGUAAUGGCAACGCUUAACGUUGUCCGGCUAUUGAAACUGCUAAACUUGAGUUAGAUAGAGGCGAGUGGAAUUCCAUGUGUAGCGGUAAAAUGCGUAAAUAUAUGGAGGAACACCAGAGGCGUAGGCGGCUCGCUGGGUCUUAACUGACGCUGAGGCACGAAAGCGUGGGGAGCAAACAGGAUUAGAUACCCUGGUAGUCCACGCCGUAAACGAUGAGUACUAAGUGUCGGGUUAAACCGGUACUGAAGUUAACACAUUAAGUACUCCGCCUGAGUAGUACGUACGCAAGUAUGAAACUUAAAGGAAUUGACGGGACUCCGCACAAGCGGUGGAUCAUGUUGUUUAAUUCGAAGAUACCCGAAAAACCUUACCAGGUCUUGACAUGUUUUUGCAAAAUGAUAGUAAUAUCGUGGAGGUUACCAGAAACACAGGUGGUGCAUGGUUGUCGUCAGCUCGUGUCGUGAGAUGUUAGGUUAAGUCCUAAAACGAGCGAAACCCUUAUCGUUAGUUGCCAGCACGUUAUGGUGGGGACUUUAACGAGACUGCCAAUGAUAAAUUGGAGGAAGGUGAGGAUCACGUCAAAUCAGCAUGCCCCUUAUGACCUGGGCUACAAACGUGAUACAAUGGCUGUUACAAAGGGUAGCUGAAACGCAAGUUCUUGGCCAAUCCCCAAAAACAGUCCCAGUCCGGAUUGAAGUCUGCAACUCGACUUCAUGAAGUUGGAAUCGCUAGUAAUCGCGAAUCAGCAUGUCGCGGUGAAUACGUUCUCGGGGUUUGUACACACCGCCCGUCAAACCACGAAAGUUGGCAAUACCCCAAAACGGUAGCCUAACUCGUUUAUUCGAGAGGGCGCCGUCUAAGGUAGGGUCGAUGAUUGGGGUUAAGUCGUAACAAGGUAUCCCUACCGGAAGGUGGGGAUGGAUCACCUCCUUUCUAAGGAAACCAAUAAAAUCAAUCAUCUUCAGUUUUGAAAGACUUAGGCAACUAAGUUUUUCUUCGUGACUUCACGAAGGGCCUAUAGCUCAGUUGGUUAGAGCACACGCCUGAUAAGCGUGAGGUCGGUGGUUCAAGUCCAUUUAG